rnacentral:rRNA from 1 species
GACGAACCACCCAAACGUUAUUCGGAAUUACUGGGCUUAAAGGGUGCGUAGGCUGUGCGGAAAGUUGGGUGUGAAAUACCUCAGCUUAACUGAGGAACUGCGCUCAAAACUACCGUGCUCGAGGGAGACAGAGGUGAGCGGAACUUAGGGUGGAGCGGUGAAAUGCGUUGAUAUCCUAAGGAACACCGGUGGCGAAAGCGGCUCACUGGAUCUCUUCUGACGCUGAGGCACGAAAGCUAGGGUAGCGAACGGG